rnacentral:rRNA from 1 species
AUUGAACGCUGGCGGCAGGCCUAACACAUGCAAGUCGAACGGUAACAGGAAGAAGCUUGCUUCUUUGCUGACGAGUGGCGGACGGGUGAGUAAUGUCUGGGAAACUGCCUGAUGGAGGGGGAUAACUACUGGAAACGGUAGCUAAUACCGCAUAACGUCGCAAGACCAAAGAGGGGGACCUUCGGGCCUUUUGCCAUCGGAUGUGCCCAGAUGGGAUUAGCUAGUAGGUGGGGUAACGGCUCACCUAGGCGACGAUCCCUAGCUGGUCUGAGAGGAUGACCAGCCACACUGGAACUGAGACACGGUCCAGACUCCUACGGGAGGCAGCAGUGGGGAAUAUUGCACAAUGGGCGAAAGCCUGAUGCAGCCAUGCCGCGUGUAUGAAGAAGGCCUUCGGGUUGUAAAGUACUUUCAGCGGGGAGGAAGGGAGUAAAGUUAAUACCUUUGCUCAUUGACGUUACCCGCAGAAGAAGCACCGGCUAACUCCGUG